AAUCAGGAAGUUAAAAUAUAACUCCUACACCUUAAGUAAAUACCUUAUAUGAAUGGUCAGCAGCUGUGGCAAGCAACUGAAGGGGCAAAGUGUAGAACACUCCAUGUUCCUGUGGUGUGCUGAAUGUUGUUCCUGGGCUUUAUCCAUCUAAAAGUCAAUGACCUUGCACAAGCACAUGAACUAUAUUAUGUAAGAGAUAAGACAUUUGUAAAAUCAAUAGAAAGUGAGAGGCCCUCUUGUCUCCUUUCUUCUUGACAGGAAAUUAGAGAUAAGGUGAUACUAGCAGGAUGGAGUGUUAUGGGGUGCAACACCUGUAUCCCCCACAAAAACAACAAAAAUAAUAAAUGAACAACUAUGAAUGAUGAAUUAUAAAGCAUAAACUAUAAAUUGUAAAGCAAAUGUAAAUUACUUUGGGAUAGCUCUGGGCCACAGGGAAGGAGCAGCAGAUACCCUGCAGAGUUUAAAACCAGAAGAUGGCCAUAUAGUAAAGCUUAGCAAAGAUGGGAUCUCCAUCAUGCCCUCCUCCAGUUCAGAGCAGCUUAGAAGCAGCAGGGCUCCUUUCAGAGGAAUUUCACUUUAGGAAGAAAGGAGACUAGGAGAAGGUCCAUAAGGCUUAGACACUUUCAGCCUUUGCUGCUGAGGGCUUCCCCAGCCUUCCCCAGCACAGUCCAGUUGCCAGAGCUGCCCAGGGCCCUUGCAGCCAUGUCUUUUCUGAGGCAGGAGCUGUCCCUGUGGUGACCUGACCUUGAGGCCCCAUCAGCCCUCUGCCUUGCUUUUCCUGGUUGAGUUGCCACAGUGCCCUGCCAUUGAUGGCACUAGAGCCACUCCUGUCUAGUCUCCUCCCAGGAUCUAGGUCAGUGCUUUGUCCUGCCGUGGCCAGGGCCGUGCUGCUGUUGCUUUGCACUCACGCUGUGUUUUUCAUUGUGGCUUGGGCUGGCCAUUACCUAGCUGAGGUGUCGCUGCUCUGCACUGUAUCUGUGGGUCCUAAGUCAUGGCCCCAACCUGUCAUUCCUUGGGCUAAGGGGCUGCUACUCUGCACUUUACCCUGGGUCCUAAGUCAGUGCUGUGACCUGCCAAUACUACUGCCACACCACUGCUGCUCCACAUCCCACCUCAUGAGUCCUGACACGUGGUUUUAACCAAGGGAACAUGCUGCUGCUGCUGCUGCUGCUCUGUGCCUUCUCCUGAGGGCAGAAUUGGAAUGUUGACCCACCCUCCUGAGGCAGUGCUGCUAGAGGACCCUGCCCUCCUGGGCUUAAGCCAUAGUUGGAUCCUCUCAUCUCAGGGCCUGUACCAGCCCCCCUCCCCAGAAUUAUAUUCACUCUAUGCCGCACACCUAGCAAGACAACUGUAUACAUGUUUUACCUGCUUGCUUGUUAUAUUUAUUCAGAGAAGAAAGGAGGAGAAAUGGGUAGUCACCCAGCCUCGUAAAAUUAAUUAUCUUCCCCGGUGCUCUCUGCUUUAUCCUGUGGAUUGGCACUGCAGUCUGAGUUUACUUUCUUCAGCCUGAAGACCUUCCUUCAGUUUUUCCCGUAAGGCAGGUGUUCCAGCAAUGAAUUCUUUCUUCCUGUGAAGGGUCACCAGAAUGUCUGUAUUUUGCCCUCAUUUUUGAAAGAUAUCUUUGUUCGAUGUAGAAUUUUUGAUUGACAGUUUUUCUUUCAGCCCUUUGAAUAUGUCAUCCCACUCUCAUGUAACAUCCAUUGUUCUGAUGAGAUAUAUAUAAGUCCUGUAUUUUGGAGUUCCCUUGUAUGGAUAUGCUCUUUUUGGCUUAAUGCUACAAGUUUUUUGUUUUUGUCUUUUAAAAUUUCACUAAUGUCUGUGUAAAGCUCUCCUAUAUUUAUUCUACUUGGAAUUGGGGAUGUAUAGAUUAACAUUUUCCAUCAUAUUUGGGGAUUUUUUCAAGCAUUUUUUUAAGUACUUUACUCUUGUCCUUUUUCUAUGGACUUUCAUUUGGUGGAUGUUAGUGGGAUGAAUUAUGUCCCACCUUUCUCUAAACCUCUGUUCAUUUUUUUUUUUUUUGCGUUUUUUUUCUCUCUGUUCUUUGGAGUGUAUUAUCUUAUUGAGCUCUCUUCAAGUUCAUAGGCUUUUUCAUCAGCCUCUCAAACCAUCAGUUAACUCCUCCUUGUAAACUUUAUUUUUGGUUAUGGUAGUUUCCAACUCCAAAAUUUCCAUUUGAUUCUUUGGAAGAAUAUUUCUAUCUAUUUUUUACAUACUUUAUUGCUUGGGAUGGAUGUACUUAUUAUACUCUCCCCACAUCUUUAAGCAUGGUUUGCUGAAAUUAGGUUCUACGCUUUUUGGAAUUUAUCCAUUUCUUCUAAGUUGUUCAGUUUGUUGGAGUAUAGUGAUUCACAAUAGUUUCUUAUGAUGAUUUGCGUUUUUUAUUUUGGUUUCUCCUAUUAUCAAUUUGAGUGUUUUUUUGUUGUUGUUGUUAGUUUCCUUUUAAUCACUGAACACAUGUAAAAUAGCUAAUUUGAAGAGUUUCAACGUUAGAGCCAACUUUUUGUUCCCCUCACAGACAGUUUUCAUUAUUUGCUUUUUUCCCCACGUACAUCACAUUUUCCUACUUAUCUAUCUUGUGAAAUUUUUGCUAAACUGUGACAUUUAGAAAAUAGAGUGUAGCAACUCUGGAUACUGGUCCUCUCCAGGUCUGUCUGUUGUCGCUGUUAUUUGUUUAGUGCCUAAGUGCACUAUUUUAGUGAAGUCUCUUUCCUUUACUAUGCAGAGUCUCUGUUGUGUCUCUUCAGAGGGCGUUGCCUCGGGCAUAUUCACAUUCCUGGGGAUGACAGGUAUUUUGUUCAGGCACACCUUUGACUCUCUAUUGUCUUACUGUUAGCCUUCAGCAGUUGUUGGGUGAUUGUGCUCUAAUUUUUGAUAUCUUGGGACUAUAACUUGCUCCAGAUUCUGACGCUAAAAUGUUCAGCCACUUUUGUAGGCUCAUAAUUUUUGAAGUCAAUAUUUGAGGUGUGUUUCUACCUCAGGACGGCUUUUCUUUGGUGUUCUCUGAUAAAGUAGCUUGCCAGUGGUUUAAAGCCUACCUCAGGAAGGCUUUUCUUUGGUGUUCUCUGGUGAAGUAGCUUGCCAGUGGUUUAAUGUGCAUGAAUCAUGAAGCCUCCAGAUUCCUCUUAAUUGGUACCAACUAAUCUUUCAUAGUUUGAGGGCACUCUUAGCCACGAGCCUCCCAGAGUCUGUUUCAAAUAAAGUGAAUUCCUUCCACGUACCUUUGAGCGCUCUCUGUUUUACUUACCGUGUCUCCCUUUGUUCAAACUUUCUGAAUGUUGGCUUCCAGAGCUGGGGACAGGGACAGUGGCACACAUCUCUCCGAGCGAGAUUCCUGCUUUAGAUGUAAACUGUAGCCUCUAUUUUUAGUUUGCCUCUUUCCUCAUGGACACUCAAUUCUAUGAAAGAGCUGGGGCAAUGACCAUUUGGGAUUCGGUGUUCUCAAUACACUAUGCCUGAAAAGAACCUCUGCCCUAGGAGUCAGGCUACGUGGAAGAAGGGAGGACCUUCUUGGCUCCACCUUCUGGAUCUUAGCCUCUGUAACACAUUGCUGAAGUGUGUGUGUGAGAGAAAUGCAAGUGGACUGACCCUUCUAAGGAGACACCAUAGUAGUCAGAUGGGAGCUGUGGUGAAAAGAAUUCACUGCUGGAACAUCUGCCUUACGGGAAAAACUGAAGGAAGGUCUUCAGGCUGAAGAAAGUAAACUCAGACUGCAGUGCCAAUCCACAGGAUAAAGCAGAGAGCACCGGGGAAGAUAAUUAAUUUUACGAGGCUGGGUGACUACCCAUUUCUCCUCCUUUCUUCUCUGAAUAAAUAUAACAAGCAAGCAGGACUCAUCAUCACCCAUCUGGAUUCCCAAUUGCCUGAUUAGACAUGUCACCGCCACGACUGUCAAAAAUGGAGUGUUGUCCUGAGGACACAGAAGGAAGACAACUUCAAAAUGAACAAGUGGCAAAGUCCCUUUCUACACAGCUGAGAGACUUAAACCUUAAUCAUCGACAACAACAACCGGGUGCCCUGCAAGAUUGAUACAUACUGUUCAACCGCCCACCUGCGACCAAAUAAAGAGACUUGCUAAAAAUGCUGAGGGCUUGGUGAGAGCUCAAAAUCAACAUUUAAAUCCUACAACAAUGUUCGUUGCUAUGCUUAUAAUUCUUGCUAUUCAAACAAAUAAUGUCUCUGCUAAGUCACAUUGGGCCUUCUUUCCUAAUCCGCCCAGAUUUCAGCCUGUUACUUGGGAUAAUGUGAUGAUUAAGGUACAUAUAAAUCAGUCUGAUCUGUUAGGGAAACCAGGGCUUCCUCCCCCUCCUUUUCAAAUUACUACAGCCAGCUCCUCCAAUUAUUCAUUCCUCGGAAGCUCUGCUGCAUUGCCUAUUUGUUUUGCUUUACCAUUAACCCUCUAUGGUCCUGGACGGACUGAGAUUCCUGGCUGGAAUCUCAAACAACAGGCAUGGUUACUAUAGGUACAUUACCUGUUACAAAGUGUCCAAAAACUCAUCAUUGUUGGUCAUUGUUAUUUCUUAGCCUUGGAACUGAGCCUGGUAAUGUUUAUAGGUACCCACUUCAAACUUUAAAUUAUCAAUCUUACCUUCUCAGCCAUCCUUUAAAUUAUCCUGAUUGUACACCAUGGUCUGAGAAUUCUAAGUCUCAAAGAGUUUGGGAGGAGAUUGAUGUCAGUACUGGAUUUCCCCCCUGGAAACAUUGUAUAUAUAAUUCUACUAAGCCUAAUCUUUUUCAUCCUGAAACAGAUGUUAAGGCACUUUGGUCUCUAGGUCAUUCACAAAUGUGUGGAUGGCAAUCUUUAGGUUAUUUACAAGUAUAUGGAUGGCAUAUUUCAGAUCUGCAAAUAGAUUAUCAUGCUUAUCUAAAUAAAAAUUAAAAUAAAUGUGGAUGGGAUAAUAGCCAUGUGUCUAAACACAUAACUUUAAAUAAAAUUACUAAUGAUUACUACUUCAUUUAAAAAUCAACACAAGAUUCAGCCUCACCUCUGGAGAGCUAUUGCUGCCUUAAGACCAGUAAUUUUACAUAGACCUAAUCAUAGAGAUAUAUAUUUUGUAAAAGCCCAUCUGCAUACCCCUUAUGCUUUUCUUCUUUCAAAAUUUUUUGAUGUAAAAAUUCAUAAAAAGGAAAAUGUUUUUACUACUCAGUGUGAUAAUUGUACCUUGACAAAUCAUAUUAGUCCUGAUAUUGGUAAUUAUAAGUUUAUGCUUAUUGUGAAACAGCCUCCAUAUGUAAUGAUUCUUGUAAAUAUUACUGGUAAUUGGUAUGAUAAUCAGGGAUUAAGAGCAUUACAGCUGCUUAAUAAUCAGUUAACACGAACCAAACGAUUUGUUGCUACUCUUAAUAUUAGGAAUUACUGCCUAAAUUUCUAUAAUUACUUCCUUAACGGUAUUGGCUGUUGCUUUAACAAAACACACAUACUGCAACUUUUGCCGAUCAAUUAUCUAAAAAUAUUACUUUAGCUUUAACUACACAAGAGAUUAUUGACAAAAAAUUAAGGGACAAGGUUGAUGCUUUGGAAGAAGCAGUUAUGGCAAUGGAACAAGAAAUAAUAUCUCUUAAAGUUAAACUGGCUCUUUGUUGCCAUUCACAUUUCAAAUGGAUUUGUGUCACCCCUCUCCAGGUAAAUGAGUCUCAUUACACCUGGGAUAAAAUUAAAAAUCAUCUCGAAGGAGUUUGGAAUCACUCUGACUUUGGAUUGGAUAUUUCUAAAUUACAUCAGGAAAUAAUGGAUAUGUAUCAGGGGGAAAAAACCUUUAGUACUCAAAAUACAGCCUCAGAUUUAUUUAACAACAUAAAUGGUUUUGUGAGUCACAAAUCUCUCACCUCUAUGCUCAUUAAUCUUGCUAUGUCUGCUUUACUUCUGAUUCUGCUAUUGCUGUCUCUCCUGGUUCUCUUUAAACUUAUAGGUCGUGAUGUUUGACAACUUUCAACUGAACUUCAUGCCUUCAUUUUAAAAAAUAAAAAAGGGGGAUAUGCAGGGAGCCAAGAAGAUACAAGGAGCCAAGGAAGGGAGCUUGCCUGACUGGUGCAAAACUGAGGGCAGGUUCCUAAUCAGAAAAAGGGGCCUGCCUGAAUGGUGCAAGCCAAAUGUGGGCUUCUGGUCAGGAUAGAAGCCUGUCUGUAUGGUGAAAAACGGAGGGCAGGCUGAGGCCUGCCUGUAAGGUGAAAAACCAAGGGCAGGCUGAGGCCUGCCUGUAUGGUACAAUCCGAGGGCAGGCCUCAGGUUACAUAGCUCUCAUGUUGAUGUUGAUGGGGAA